GAGGAAGCUAAGCCCAGUGUGGCGCAGAAGCGUUAGUUUCCAAGGAACAGACCAAGCUCGACAAAAUUUUAAAUAUAGAAAAAGAAUCAGGCUCGAAAGAGAAUCCUGGCAGGAGUCUGCGUGGACUAACGUUUUUUAUUACCGGAGCGACGGAGUACAUGUCCAGAGCAGAAGUCUGUAAAUUAAUAACAGACACCGUGGUGAAAACGGUGCACCGUUUGCAAGCUUUCUCGGAGGGUGCUUGGAGGAUGUUAUAUCGUUGUUGGCGGCAAGGCAGCAGGACAAACGAAAUUGAAGAAAGUACAGGUCUAUCAUCUCGUUAUAGACAUUUAUACAUUUGCCAUAUACUUAUCGUGUUUCUCGUUGAAAAUAAUGGGAGAAGCGGCGGAGGGGGGUCCGGCUGGAAGAGAUAUUUCUCUCCGACUCUGAUGAAGAGAGAGAGAGAGAGAGAGAGAGAGAGAGAGAGAGAGAG